rnacentral:tRNA from 1 species
GCGCCCGUAGCUCAGCCUGGAUAGAGCCGGGGAGUUCUAAUCCCUGGGUCGGGGGUUCAAAUCCCUCCGGGCGCGCCA